CCUACGGGUGGCAGCAGUGAGGAAUAUUGGUCAAUGGACGAAAGUCUGAACCAGCCAAGCCGCGUGAAGGAAGACGGCUCUAUGGGUUGUAAACUUCUUUUAUAAAGGGAUAAAACGAGGUACGUGUGCCUUUCUGCAUGUACUUUAUGAAUAAGGAUCGGCUAACUCCGUGCCAGCAGCCGCGGUAAUACGGAGGAUCCGAGCGUUAUCCGGAUUUAUUGGGUUUAAAGGGAGCGUAGAUGGGUUGUUAAGUCAGUUGUGAAAGUCUGCGGCUCAACCGCAAAAUUGCAAUUGAUACUGGCAGGCUUGAGUGCAGUUGAGGUAGGCGGAAUUCAUGGUGUAGCGGUGAAAUGCUUAGAUAUCACGAAGAACCCCGAUUGCGAAGGCAGCUUACUAAACUAUGACUGACAUUGAUGCUCGAAAGUGUGGGUAUCAAACAGGAUUAGAUACCCGAGUAGUC
rnacentral:rRNA from 1 species